rnacentral:rRNA from 1 species
UACGAAGGGGGCUAGCGUUGCUCGGAAUCACUGGGCGUAAAGCGCACGUAGGCGGCUUACUAAGUCAGGGGUGAAAUCCUGGAGCUCAACUCCAGAACUGCCUUUGAUACUGGUGAGCUUGAGUCCGGAAGAGGUGAGUGGAACUGCGAGUGUAGAGGUGAAAUUCGUAGAUAUUCGCAAGAACACCAGUGGCGAAGGCGGCUCACUGGCCCGAUACUGACGCUGAGGCACGAAAGCGUGGGGAGCAAGCAGG